CUGUUUUCGUAUGAUCACCGAAGUUAAGCAACAGCGAGCCUGGUCAGUACCUAGAUGGGUGACCGCUUGAGAAUACCAGGUGCUGUAAG